GGCUUGCGCGGUAAGAGGACCCUGGUAGGACUGGAUCUGAUAUCAUACACUGCCCUUUCCACGUGUGGCCAGGAUACCAACCCACAAUCUUAACUCGGUACCCAGGUGCUACCAUUCUCUUGAUCUCUCAAACUAGAGUACUGUAUUUCACUUCUCUAAUGAAUCAGAUCACUAAAACGAAGUUCACUUCUAAGUCCAGCAUAAAUUUGAGUUCCUCUGAGUCAGGUACUCAGGUCUCCAUAUAGGCUCAUCCUCAUCCAACAGGAAACAAUGGCACGAUACAGUGAUACUGCAUUGUAUCAAAAUUAACUAGCCUACUGAAAAUCAUAUGGGCUCGCUGCCUGGGCUACUGCUGUCACAUUCAACAUGUAUGUUUGGAUGGUUAUCAAAAUCUGGAAAAGUGCAUGGAACAAGCAGCCAAAUGUGAAGCAGAUACUUUUGAUUAAUUAAUUCAUACACGAUGAGUAUCAGUAUGCACUAAACAAAUCAAGUUGUUACUUGUUAUUUGGAUUGAGCAUAUACAAAUUACUUAAUCAUCAACCUAAGACAUGAUCUAAAAAUCCCCACAAGCUAAUUAAAGCAGAUAAGUAUAUGCAGCACAAAUCUAGGUUAAGUUCGCACUCAGGGGGCGAUCGGAAGAGGCAUAAGGGAGGGGUGGCCGGGUGGGGGACUCAACUGGAGACGGCGUGGACGAGAUGGAGCGUGUCGGCCAUGCGGGCGAAGUGCACGAGCACCCAGUCGAAGGCGUGCUUGGAGUUGGGCCCGAAGUCGACGGCGACGAGGAGGUCCCUGCCGCGGCGGCGCUCCCCGGUCUCCCGCUCCAGCUCCG
rnacentral:lncRNA from 1 species